rnacentral:rRNA from 1 species
GAUGAACGCUGGCGGCGUGCUUAACACAUGCAAGUCGAACGGAAAGGCCCAAGCUUGCUUGGGUACUCGAGUGGCGAACGGGUGAGUAACACGUGGGUGAUCUGCCCUGCACUUCGGGAUAAGCCUGGGAAACUGGGUCUAUACCGGAUAGGACCCCCUUUUGGAUGGGGCGGUGGGAAGUUUUUUGGUGUGGGAUGAGGUCGCGGCCCUACCGCUUGUUGGUGGGGUAAUGGCCUACCAAGGCGUCGACGGGUAGCCGGCCUGAGAGGGUGUACGGCCACAUUGGGACUGAGAUACGGCCCAGACUCCUACGGGAGGCAGCAGUGGGGAAUAUUGCACAAUGGGCGCAAGCCUGAUGCAGCGACGCCGCGUGGGGGAUGACGGCCUUCGGGUUGUAAACUCCUUUCGCUAGGGACGAAGCGCAAGUGACGGUACCUGGAGAAGAAGCACCGGCUAACUACGUG